UACGGGGAUAAGUCAAUUGGCAGACGUGCGGCCUGCAAAGCCGCUUAGUCAGGUUCGAGUCCUGGCUCCCGUGU
rnacentral:tRNA from 1 species